rnacentral:lncRNA from 1 species
UUUUAAUUGCUUUACCGCAAGACAAAGGGUCGAAUAACCCUUGCACUGCUUAUUUUUUGGGAUGCACAAAAUAAAAGGGUAAAUUUCACAGCAGUCCCUGAAUUUACAACUUAUCAUUUUUAAACUUUAAUUUGUAACAUAAAAUUUUUUUAAAUUUGAAAAUAAAAAUAAAAACAAAAUUUGAAAAUAAAAAUAAAAGAAUUAUUGUUAUUUUUUUUAAAACAAUAAUUAGAGAAAAGAAAAUGGAGAAGAUCAUGCGAAUUAGAUUUCUUAAUUUUCUUUUGUUUUUUAAAUAUUAUUAAUAAUUUAAAGUAAAAAAAAAAAAGAGAGUAAAUGAAAAAGUCAAAAUGAUGGUGAAAUCUAUUUGAAGGUAAAAGCUCUAUUUAGUUUUUUAAAUUAUGACAUGAUAAUCAAGUAAACUCUUUAAAUUUUUUAUGUUUAAGUAAGCUUUAAAAUUAAAAAUAAAAAAUAAAAAAAACGUUUAAAUUUUUAAAAUUUAAUUAAAUAAGUCUUUAAAAAUAAAUAAGUAUUUUCUUUCAAUUCAUAUAUAUUUUUUCUAUUAAUUUCUCCACCAUACUUAGUAUUUGUUUUUUUAGAAGAGGGAAAUUAAAUUUUAGUCACACAGAUUUUUAAAUAUAUGGGUAAUUUUUAUUUAUAGUCUUUCAACUUUAUUAUAAUUUUUAUUUAUAUGAUUUAUUCGGUUUGGUUCGGUUUUGAAUCGAACCGACCGAAUGCUCAUAACUUUGCAAAUGGGGCUGAUUGCUUAAAUGCUUUAAACAUGAAAUUCUCCAAAAUCAUUUGAAUCAAUUUGUUCCCCAUCGUAAAGAGAAACACAACUUGUUUACUCACCGUUGAUCUCUAUGUUCACUACAAAAAUAUAAUAAAAUGCAAACAGAAUUUACUAUGAAUCUGUUUAUAAUUUAUAAACCAACGUUGAAAAAAUAUUAUUUUCUUUACAAUUUGAUUUUCGUCCAUUUGUAAAUUUAUUGAUAUCAAUUUAAUUUCACAAACGGAUUAAUAUUAAUUUAUAAAUUUAUUUAUAUUUAUUUAAUUUUAUAAAUAGAUUAUAUCUUUAUUUUUGUAGUUUAAUUUUAUAAACAGAUUACAUAUCCGUUAUUAUAUCUCCAUUUAUAAAUCUAUUUAUUUUCAUUUAAUUUUAUAAAUAGAUUACACAUUAAUUUGUGGAUUCGUUUAUAUUCACUUAAUUUUACAAACUAUUUAAUUUUUUAAAUAAAUUAUAUGUCUAUUUAUAAAUUUAUUUAUAUUUAUUUAAUUUUAUAAAUAAUUUAUAUAUUUAUUUUUAAAUCUAUUUGUGAUAAAUUAAUUUUACAAAUAAACUAUACAUCCAUUUGAGUUAUCUGUAUUUCUAAAUCUAUUUGUGAUAAAUUAAUUUUACAAAUAAACUAUACAUCCAUUUGAAUUAUCUAAUUAAAUUUUAUAAAUAGAUUUCAUGUUCUGUAUUUAUUAAAUUUUAUAAAUAAAUUUUAUGUUCGUUAAAUUAUAUCUAUUUAAUUUUAGAAGCAAAUUAUAUAUCUGUAUUUAAAUACGUUUAUGUUCAUUUAAUUUAACAAAUAGAUUAUAUGUCUGAUUGUGAAUCUAUUUAUAUCCAUCUAAUUUUUUAAAUAAAUUAUGAUUUGUAUCUAUUUAAUUUUACAAAUAGAUUAUACGUUGAUUUGAGAAGUCUCUUGUGUCUAUUAAUUUUAUAAACAAAUUUUGUAUUCAUUUAUAAAUCUAUUUAUAUUAUUUAAUUUUACAAACAGAUUAUAUAUCUGUUUAUAAAUCCGUUUAUAUUUAUUUAAUUUUAAUUUCAUAUCGAUAAAUUAUAGAUAAUGAGGAGUUUUACUUCCCUAUAAAAUGGAAAAGCCCCUCUUCCUUUUAAAAUUAGUACAUGAUUUUUAUAUGUUAUGGACCUAAUAUGGAAUCUAUAAAAAGUUUAAAUAUUUUAAUUUUAAAAUAUUUUUUAUUUAAUUUUAUUUUUAAAUUAUUUUUAAACUCUAAUUAAUAAUUGAGCUUAAAUAUAAACUUAUCAUGAGUUGAACUCAAAUUAAACUCAAGUUUAUCAAAUAUUUCAUGAGAAUUGAAUUUCAAUUUAUAAAUUUUAUAAUAUGUAAAAUUCAACUUUAAAAAUAUUUUAGUUCAAUUACACCUUUAACCACAUGAAUAAAAGUUAAAUUAAUUAGCAGCUUUGUCUAUAAAAAAUUAUAAAAUAUAAAUAAAUUAAUUAAUAACAGAGAGAGAACUACGAGACGAGAAACUAAUUUAGAGAGAAAGACAGUUAAAAAGUCAGAGAUGAUAUGGUAGAGAUUAUUUGGAGUCAACCAUGAAUUCUCUUAUCAGUCAAGUAGGAUUACAUGUUGAUGAGAUUUUGACUUUUGAUUAUUGAUAAAAUGAAAGAAAAAUUAAUUUUAAUAAAUUAUGAAUUUUAAUUUAUUUAGGAAUUUUAAUUCGGAUAUUCAAGAGGUUUUAAUUAAGAUAUAAUCAUGAUAUAAAUGUGAUUAUGGAAAAUUUUAAAUUAUUUUAUUCAAUUUGAUUUAAAAUUUAAUCGAUUAAAAAAUAAUAAAAAAUUUAGUAGAACAACAUAUGAUAAAUUUAGAUUUUAAUCAAAAUUAAUUUAAAUUGAUGAUUAAAAUUGUGAUUAAUUUUAAAAUUACAGUGUUCAAAAUUAAAAUAGAAUAUAAAUGUAAAUUUAUGAAAAAUUUUGAUUUUUUUUAAUAAGUUUUAUUUAUAUAAAUAUUUAAUUUUUAUGAUAGAAAGAAAGUUGAGAGAAAAUGAAAUAAAGUGAAAAAAUUAUUAGUCGGAGAAGAAAAAUAUAUAUUUUUAAAUUGUAGUAAUUCAUAAAAAUGUUAUAUCACGUAAUAGAGAGUUUAAUAAUAUUUAAAUUAAAGUUAAGGAAUUAAAAAAAUAAAAUAAGGUAAUUAAAUUGAAAAUACACUCACAAGCUGAAAGGUUAUGGGAAUGGAUGCUAAUUCACAAGUUGCUCUAAUGAAUUUCUCCGCAUAUAGCAUGCAGCAAAGGAUAAAAUUAGAGUUGUUAUCUUGGUUCCUAUACUAAAAUUAGCUGCUCAAACGAUGAAAGUGCAAAAGAAUGGCUGAAAGGGAAUAAAAAUUUCACAUUAAGCUAAUGACAAAGAACUUGCGUGAAUAUUUUAUUUUUUCAAAGAAACCAAAGCUGCUUUUUUUUGUUUCUCUCCAAAAGAUGUGCAAAUAUUUAUUAAAGGGGCUGCCAAAAAAAGCCCAAAAGUUGCAACAAUACAUCCAUGGCCUACAGAAGACACAAUCAAUACACGAGCAGAUGAGAUUUUCCUCUGUCUCUAACCUUUUAAAGAGAGAUUUUUUUUUUUUUUUUUUCAUUUUUCUUCUUCUGAGCUACAUGCCUUUUUGCUGCCGUCGAAAUCGGUUCUUCUCUGCUCCUUGGAGCAGGAGGAUCUCCGGUAUUUUAUCUAUGAUUGUGCUUAGAAAUUGUUAUUUUCAGAAUUAUCUAUUGUUUUGAGAAAAUUAAUGGUAUUAUUUCUUUUUUCAGUUUACCAAUUAUCUCUACUAAACAUAAUAAUUAUUUUCUACAAUUUUCUAAGAAUAUAUCUCAUCACCUCACUCUUUCUCUUAAUUAUUCUACUUUUCUAGCGGUGGAUUAAUAAAAGAGAAAAGAGAAUUAUUAAGAUUGAAAAAAUUAAGUAAAAUAGAUAGUAAUUUAAUAUUUUGUUACAAUUUAAGUUAUUUAAUUUUUUUUUAAUUAUCAACGCAAAAACCAAGUGGUCGAAUUUUUUGGUACACGAUUUGAAUUUAUUUCAAUAUUUUUUAAAGUUAUUUUGAUAGGUGUAUAUGGUAUAUUUGCAUUACAUAAUAAUAAUAAUAAUAAUAAUAAUAAUAAUAAUAAAACGAUCUCAUACUUGUAAUAAAAGGUAUGCAACUACAAAUAAACAAAAAGGGAAAAAAAUAAGUUGGAGGUUUACAAAAUACAUGGAAAAGAAAUAUAAAGUAGAAUUUGCAGGAAUCCAACCUUCCAUGAACAUAAAACCGAGGCACAGAGGCACAUGAUCACACAAGCUGCAGCAGCAACACUGAGAUGAAGGAUAAGAGUCUUAGUACACAAAUCCAUCAGAUCACAAGAAGGAAGGAGUAACACCCAUGAGAUCAAAACCAAAUCUUAAUGAAGGUUCCUGAAAUGUUGAAAUAUGGAAUGCUAAAGACUGAAGCGUAGGGAGAAGAUGAAAACAGGAGAGAAGGAAGAAGAAGAGGGUAGUGAUUGGAGCCAUAAAGAUAUGUUUAUGUGCAUUGGUAUGUGUCUUUUUCUCGAGACCAAUGCUUAAUAUAUAGAAAUGGGUAGUUGCUAAUCUUUUCAUAUAUGUCAAUGGGAGUUGGCAAGGGUGGCCCAAUUGUCAAUUGAGUCAAUUCAAGUGAUAAUUGACUAGAUUUAAUGCUUAACUUGCUCCGAAGCAAUAGUUGUAUGAAAAAACUUAUCUCGUAUGAAUGUAUA